rnacentral:rRNA from 1 species
GCCAGUGAUAAACUGGAGGAAGGUGGGGGAUGACGUCAAAUCAUCAUGCCCUUAUGACCUGGGCUACAAACGUGAUACAAUGGCUGAACAAAGGGCAGCGAAGGAGCGAUCUGGAGCGAAACCCAAAAAAGCAGUCUCAGUUCGGAUUGAAGUCUGCAACUCGACUUCAUGAAGUCGGAAUCGCUAGUAAUCGCGGAUCAGAACGCCGCGGUGAAUACGUUCUCGGGUUU